UUAUGUAAUGGGUCAGCCCGCUGUGACCCGAGCUAGCUCGCUCCGGACGGCCCGACCCUCCCCGGAACAGCCGUGCGUGCCCCUGACCUAGGCAAGCAGAGGGCCCGGUGUUCUCAAAAAGAACUUUCCCCGGGAGGGCCAAAGAGCAGGCUGUGGAGAAGGAAUCCAAGGCCUCCUUUAGGUGUAUCUGCAGCCCGUCCCAUUUCACAGCACAGAAAACCGAGGCCCCAAAGUGUUCGUUUAAAAAGCUGUUCCUUGGAGUUAGACAGGCCUGGAUUCAACUCUUCUGAAAAGCUCAGUGACCUUAGACAAGUGACUUGAAUCUCCGAGCCUCAGUUUCUUCACCUCUAAAAGAAUGAUAGUGCGCACUUCCUGUGGUUGCGGAAAUGGAGGCGCAGAAGCCCGGCGUACGUAACAAGCCCAGUGAAAGUUACUGCUGUUGAUUGUGCUGAAGUUCGCCCAAGCCCCCAAACGUCGCCUUGAGAUCGCCUGUCUCACGGGCUUGAGGAAGGAGCUGCCGAGAGGUACCUCAGAUAAGGCAGGUGCCAGGCUAACCUUCCUAGUGUUCAGAUGUAGUUUGGCUGACUCUAUCACAGGCAGAGUGCUGUUCAUCUCUUGCGAGCGCAAUUGCAUCCUAGAAAACCUAGAGUUGCAUUACAACAGCAUGGUCAUCCUGUGAGUGCCUGUUUGAUGAUGAUAUAAGGGCAAUUACAUUUAAAGCAAAGUUCCAAAGAAGCACACCCUCCUUUGUGAAGAUGUCAGAUUUAGCAGCACACCUAGAGGAUAAGCAUUCAGGGAGCUGCGUGUUGACGUCGGCCUGAACCACGGGACUGCCGUCACCAACACCGAAGUGUGCAUCAGCAGCAGGAGCCGUGCAGCCGCCGGG